AACAAAAAUAUCCCAACAGCUGUCAGUUAUUACUUCUAUCUGUAAAUACUGCGUUUUUAGUUUGAAGUGUUUUGCACAUCUUAGCAAGAAUUGAUACUAGAAAUGGCGUUAUUUAAAAAGGUUGCAAUGUGGAUCUUAAAAAUUGCAGUUUUUUCUGCAUUUGCUAGCCAUUUACUAGUACAAGGGGAUGAAAUAGGAAAUGUAGCUCCUCAAGAAUCAGAUAUAGCUGUAAUGGGUUUACUCUGCGCUGACAGUGACAAGUGUUCUGACUCAAUGACAUCAAGCAUGAGCACUUAAAGAUUUCAUGGAUUCUACAAGAAUGUGUAUUCUAACUAUACAAUGUAUUUGAAUAAAUUAUUUCAAUAGUGUUGUA